AAAUACUGAGUUAGGUAACAUUUCCCUGAUGAAGGAAGCCGUACUUCUGAAACGCGUUGGAGGUAUCUUGGAUCCAAUCCUGUACCGUAGUGAUGUCACGACAUCGUUCUCCAGCGAACCGGGGCUACCACGGUAGAGAAUGCCAACGGCCGGGGCAUACUCCCGCAAUCCCCAACUAGGAUCUUCGGUAAAAGGAUACGCACUCUCUGCAACAUCUCAGAACAAGAGGAAGUGUGGGCGUCACCACCAAGAAAAACAAUCACACAAAAACGCAAGCAAAACGCUAGUAAAAUAUUUAAAGUGAUUGCACUAUAAGUCCAAUAUUCGGCGCACAUCCAUAGGUAUAUGUUUAUAAGUGAACUAGACAUCUAUCCUGUACGUCUCAGUUAGAUCUGCUCGUAUCUAAAUGGACAUUCUUUGACUUGUAGUGCCACCAGCCAAACAACAGGAUUUCACCACCAAUAAUAUACUAAUACAGCUAAAUUCCUGGAACACGCUGGAACCCAUAUAAAUAAGCAUACCUACAGUGCACCCUAAAGAACAACUUAAAGAAUAACCCUGCAAACAAUUAUACCACACUUACACUUUGAUCUUCUUCUUUUAGCCAGAGGAUCAGAAUCAUAGUGAGGAGACAUCUGGGCAUCAAGUUCUGUAGAGAGAAGAUUUAGCUGGAACAAGUCCAGUGCCAAUCAGAAAGCAGCACGACUCAAAUAGAACUCCCGUGAGGUCACACAUGUGAUGUCAUCACCACUGUCAUCAGUGAGGGGCCUAAACUGUAGGAACCUAGGAAUGCAACUUCAUACCCGCCUGUGACUGAUGCACACCUUCCAGGCUGUGGGGCAGCACAUACACUGACACUUUGGCCCAAAUUCUAGAGGUAACCUCCUUUAGUAUGCCCAGAGGAAGGGCAGUACAGUAGCCAUGGAUUCCCUACAGGUUUCCUCCCCUCUGGAGGUUUUUCCUGUCCUGAGUUAGUUACUGUCCGCUCUUUGUGAGUGAUGGAGGUUACAUAAAAUCCCUACACAAACAUUUUAAUAAAUAAUAAAUAAAGUUCCCUUUGUUUAAACUGUU